GCCCGGGUGCUGGAAUUGGUAUACAGGCACGCUUGAGGUGCGUGUGCCGCAAGGCAUAAGGGUUCAAGUCCCUUCCCGGGCACCA
rnacentral:tRNA from 1 species